ACUCCUUAAAUGCAAAACUAAAUAGAACAAAAACCGAAAAUCCCUGGUUUGUUUUUGGUGUCUAAUAUCCUGGAGCGCUCAGUGUGUGGUUCUUAAUUUCUGGUGUUGUUCUUGCUAUUUACAACUUCACAAAAUUUGAUCAACAGGAAUCAAUCAAGAAGAUCAAGAUUUGGGAGAAGGAUCAAUUAAGUUGUGAUCAUUCUAGUAGAACAAAACAGGAAGAUGAAGGAAAGUAAAGAAGUCUUGAUGAGGAAAAGUAAUGCAAAGGCAGAAUUCUUAAUAUUGAUGUGGAUAAGGAAUGGUUAGAUGAACAGGAUGAUAGAGGAAAUCUUAUUCAGCAAGAAUAAUAGCAAAAGCCAGGCCUGAAAAUUGAAGCAAUCAUUCGGAAAUCAAUGACCAGGAAAUAUCGGGGUGAAAUUGCUCAGGGAAAAGGUCUAUGAAAUAAUCUUUUCAUCUUCAUUCUCUCAAGUUUUCUUUUUGGUUUAUUUUAAAAAGGAAUUCAGAACUGUACGAAUAUCAAUUUUGAGAGCUUGUGAGCUGUCUAAUGCUAAUGUGAAUUGUAGGAUGCAGGACAAAACAAUUGCAUUCAAUGGAGAUUCGUUCGGCGGCCUUCGAUCUCUAUAUGUUCUCCAACAUCGAGUCCCAUAUAGAGCAUGUUUAUUGCUUUCAAAUAGAGCUUGUUUUUGUACAAGCUUCUGAUAUUUUUUCCAGAUGGCCUGCAUUAGCUUAUAUCAGAGGUCUUUAAUCUCAAAUGUCUGGUGCAGGAAGCUUUGGCAAAGUGGAUUGCUUGUCUGUUAUGUGUGGGAGGUCAAGUCCAAAGUCUGAUAUAGGUGCAGUUUUGCUUGUUUGCUGUUCGUACAGAGUGGUGUGGGUCUGUGGGCUAUCAGCAUGUUUUACUCGUGCUGGAGCCUGGAGGAAGAAGAGUGGAGGCUCACCCCCGAGAGUGGCCUCCACACUCUCCCCCACUUGCCGGUUCGGUCCUUGUCAUAAACCAGUCAACAACGGUGCAAGCCAGGAAAAAACGAAAAACCAGUGGUUAAACAAUUUUAACCAGACCCAAAUCUACAUGCUCAGGCGGCACGGUUCCUUCACUUCUGUCAGUUUCAUUGAACACUUUUUUAUGUGAAUUUAUUGUUAAAAUAUAAAUUGGACUUGACCUUUAUUACUUUUUGAAUUAUAAGGACAAGUGCAGCACUAUAGCCUAGGGAGUAGAUAUCAGCACUAGAUAUCAAAGAUGAGUGAAGAAUAGCAUCAACAGCUUCACGUUGAUGUUUCCUUUUUGAAAUUUCAGCAGCUUUUGUAUAACUGGAACAGUCGUUUAGCUCUUAUAAAAAAUGGUUUAAGUUAGGGCCAAUUACGUAAAUUUUAUUUAAUUCUAAAUUAUUUUUCUCA